GAUGAACGCUGGCGGCGUGCUUAACACAUGCAAGUCGAACGAUGAAAGCGGGAGCUUGCUCCUGCUGGAUUAGUGGCGAACGGGUGAGUAACUCGUGAGCAAUCUGCCCCGAACUCUGGGAUAAGCGUUCGAAACGACGUCUAAUACCGGAUACGACGCGCGAAGGCACCUUCUGCGCGUGGAAAGAACUUCGGUUCGGGAUGAGCUCGCGGCCUAUCAGCUAGUUGGUGAGGUAACGGCCCACCAAGGCGACGACGGGUAGCCGGCCUGAGAGGGUGACCGGCCACACUGGGACUGAGACACGGCCCAGACUCCUACGGGAGGCAGCAGUGGGGAAUAUUGCACAAUGGGCGCAAGCCUGAUGCAGCAACGCCGCGUGAGGGACGACGGCCUUCGGGUUGUAAGCCUCUUUUAGUAGGGAAGAAGCGAAAGUGAAGGUACCUGCAGAAAAAGCACCGGCUAACUACGUGCCAGCAGCCGCAGUAACAC
rnacentral:rRNA from 1 species